UACGUAGGGUGCGAGCGUUAAUCGGAAUUACUGGGCGUAAAGCGUGCGCAGGCGGUUGUGCAAGACCGAUGUGAAAUCCCCGGGCUUAACCUGGGAACUGCAUUGGUGACUGCACGGCUAGAGUGUGUCAGAGGGGGGUAGAAUUCCACGUGUAGCAGUGAAAUGCGUAGAGAUGUGGAGGAAUACCGAUGGCGAAGGCAAUCCCCUGGGCCUGCAUUGACGCUCAUGCACGAAAGCGUGGGGAGCAAACAGG
rnacentral:rRNA from 1 species